rnacentral:tRNA from 2 species
GGGCCCGUGGUCUAGCGGUUAUGACGCUUCGUUGACGUCGAAGAAAUCAGAGGUUCGAAUCCUCUCGGGCCCA